ACUGUUUAUCGUGAGUUUAGACGUAGAGACUUAAACGUGGUGCGCUUACUAAGUAUUCACAUGUAAAAAAAAU
rnacentral:tRNA from 1 species